GCAUCAGCCAGCGUGACUUUGAAAAAGGCAGAAAACGAGAUGAAGUGGCGAAUGGGCAAAAAGGGCACAGCCUGGGGCCUGUUCUCACCUGGAAGGAAGCUGUAAGAAAUGGUGCCCACUUAUAUUUCAUUGCCCAGAAUUUUAUAACAGAAAAUGUAGCAUUUUAGACAUUUUAUAGAUACUGACACAGCAUUUUUUCUAAAAGAGUAGAUUUUAGCUUUUGGAAAGACAAUAACCCUUUCAAAUCACUGAAUUUGAUGCCACUGCAUCGGAUUCCAGCACCACCUAACAUCUUUGAGAAGCACCCAGUCUAGAGGAUGCUGGGGCAUCCCUUUUUAUCAGGCACUCUACUGUCUUGACUGGUCAGGGUUUUUUUUUUUUUCCUAAGGAGAAAGAGGAUAGUAGUCAUUUAGCAGUUUACGUGUUCGGAGGCCAUGUUACAGGGUUUGGACUUUUCUGGACAUAAUGAAAGAUUACAAAUGGUUGUGUUAAUCCCAGAGAUGCGAGGGGAAAGACCACCAGCCCAAACCAUCACGACCACAUUAAUUAAAGCAAGCUUUUUCUGCGUGUACCCAGGCUGUCUCCCUAAAGGCAGGCUUCAAGAGAUCAACGUUGGAAAUGGGGAAGAUACGGUUUUUAUAGCUCAGGGGUAGGUCAUUUCCAAAUGGGGUAUUUGGCAGGCAAAACAGGGUUACAGAAGCAGAAAAAGGUGGUCUUAACAAGGUAGUCAUGUCAACAGGCAGUCCUUACAACCUUCAGAAACAAAGGUAGGGUUCCAAAACGGUGGUCACUUUUUGAAACAAGCAUGGUUGCUGUUCCCUGGGACAGGCCACACAGAACCAUUUAUAGUGAAGGUUAUAGGGGGUGCACAGCAGGUUUAAUCCUUGAGACUCAGGUUUAAUCACAAACAGGAAUGAGUGAGCCUAGCUGGUCUUCACUGUCAAAUGACCUUCAGGCCUAAGAUGGAGGCAGGCAGGCUGCUUCAUCGGUUGGACUUUUGUUUAAAAGGUAAUUCUGACUGCAGUUUAGAGAAUAUACUGGAGAAGGCAGGCUCUAGAUGAACAAAGAAUACAGUAACAUAUAGAAGUCAUAACAGGUCCAGUAGACUGAAGUGAUCUUCCUACUCAGGCUCAAGCAGGGUAUAAACAAAUUGGCAUUAUUUCGUCCCAUAAGUACUGCAUGUUGGUAUUUAACAAGUGUGAAACACAAAUACAGUAUCUGAUACUUCUGUCACUGAGCUCAGUGUCGUGGAGCCCAAAUGUAAAUUUGCAGCUAUGACUCGUGCUGCAAAACAGCCAGCCUAUUCAGAGAGGUCACGGGAGUCAGUCUCCCUUGAGGAAGUGACAUUGGAGCUGAGACCUGAAUAACAAGUAGGAAGAAAGAAGCUAGGGGAAGAGAGAAUGGCUGGAAGGCCCCUUGAGGCUGAUUACAGGGAUCAAGUGCCCCGAGACCAGAAGAUUGCAUUUAUCAAAAUAGGAGAUAAGAGUUGGGGCAGAGUGGCAGGAUGUAGGAAGGUGGAGGGUUUAGAAGACUUCAGAGAUAAACAUGGACACCUUUUUAUUGGGUGAGUUUGGAAGGAAGGGGACUAAGGUACAGUAUUGUUUCUACCUCAUGCCGCAGGGUGAUUGUGGGGUGUGGGUUGAAAUUGUAAUAAAUUUGUUUAGAUG
rnacentral:lncRNA from 1 species